rnacentral:rRNA from 1 species
UACGUAGGGACCGAGCGUUGUCCGGAAUCAUUGGGCGUAAAGAGCGUGUAGGCGGCCUUUUAAGUCCUGCGUGAAAUCCUGCGGCUCAACCGCAGACGGUCGUGGGAAACUGGAAGGCUAGAGUGCGGGAGAGGAGAGUGGAAUUCCCGGUGUAGCGGUGAAAUGCGCAGAUAUCGGGAAGAACACCCGUGGCGAAGGCGGCUCUCUGGAACGCAACUGACGCUGAGACGCGAAAGCGUGGGGGAGCAAACAGGG